AUUGAACGCUGGCGGCAGGCUUAACACAUGCAAGUCGAGCGGAGUGAUGGUGCUUGCACUAUCACUUAGCGGCGGACGGGUGAGUAAUGCUUAGGAAUCUGCCUAUUAGUGGGGGACAACAUCUCGAAAGGGAUGCUAAUACCGCAUACGUCCUACGGGAGAAAGCAGGGGAUCACUUGUGACCUUGCGCUAAUAGAUGAGCCUAAGUCGGAUUAGCUAGUUGGUGGGGUAAAGGCCUACCAAGGCGACGAUCUGUAGCGGGUCUGAGAGGAUGAUCCGCCACACUGGGACUGAGACACGGCCCAGACUCCUACGGGAGGCAGCAGUGGGGAAUAUUGGACAAUGGGGGGAACCCUGAUCCAGCCAUGCCGCGUGUGUGAAGAAGGCCUUAUGGUUGUAAAGCACUUUAAGCGAGGAGGAGGCUCUUUUGGUUAAUACCCAAGAUGAGUGGACGUUACUCGCAGAAUAAGCACCGGCUAACUCUGUGCCAGCAGCCGCGGUAACAC
rnacentral:rRNA from 1 species